rnacentral:lncRNA from 1 species
AGACUCGCCGGGACCCCACGGGCGGCCCUCACCCCACACCCCUCGGCGCCUCUCCCGGUUCCGGAGCCGGACGCGGCCCCUCCCCCCGCGGCUCUCACCAGGCCCGGCCUGGGCCGCGGGGCGGGAUCGGUCUCCGGGGGCGCACGGCCGCACAGCAGGCCGGAGGCACAGCCGGCGAGAGACGGCCACUCGCUUUGGAGCGGCGGCGAGGCCGGCGCCUUCCCGGGCACCAGGGACUGCGUGGCUUGGCCGGAAAUCAGGCUAGAAGCAGCUCCGGGAAGCACAGCCCUUAGCCCAGCGCCUUCCCACACUGUGGCAGGAAUAGCACUGGCGGCCCACGCGCUUGUCAGGGAACAGAACAGCUCUCGCCCGACGCCUGGCAGGGGAGCAGGGAGGCUGCAGCUUCCCCAGCGACCAGCUGUUUCCCAGGCUGGCGGACUCCACGGACCGGCUCCGCGUCUCCUCUCCAGCCUUCUGUUCUCUCUAGAGGAAGAUCUGCGUUUUGUCUGCACUGUGGGCCGACUCUCUAGUGGGGAGCGUCAGACCCUCUAAAGUGGCUGCCUCUCGGGAAAGCUUCCACACCUGUCAUCAGAUUCUCCAAAGGGGCUGUUUGAUGCAAGAAACGGGAAGCCCCGGGGGUACUAGGAGCAGGGCUUGCUGCCAUUGGGCAUGGUGAGGCCCCGGCACCCUGCCCAGGACGGGCCUGUGGGCUGAGCUGCAGAUGGGCAUUGAGGAUGCCCCAACAGCAAGGUGCAGAAGGCAUCCAGAAGCAAAGGAAACUGAUGACCAGCGUCAAAAACAAACAAAAAAAGGGAACUUGGCUCGGCGGUGGCUCACGCCUGUAGUCCCAGCACUUUGGGAGGCAGAGACAGGUGGAUCACGAGGUCAGAAGUCCAAGACCAGCCUGGCCAACAUGGUGAAAUCCCGUCUCUACUAAAAAUACAAAAAUUAUCCAGGCGUGGUGGUGUGUGCCUGUAAUCCUAGCUACUCGGGAGGCUGAGGCAGAAGAAUCGCUUGAACCCGGGAGGUGGAGCCUACAGUGAGUCAACAUGAAGCCAGUGCACGCCAGCCUGGGCGACAGACUCUGUGUUUGUGUGUGUGUGGGGGGGGGAGGGCGGGGCGAGGCGAAGGGAACUUGAGGUUUAAAGCAGGGGGAGGAGGGCCGGAAAUGCUCCCCGCCGCCCCCGACACUCACUCGCCCCAGGCCCCAUCCUAGCCCAGGGUCAGUGUCAUUCCCUUCACCUUAGCCUCUCACUGCCCAAAGAGGCUUACUUUUCUUCUUUAAACUGCUGUUAAAAUUUGGGAGGAAACGGAAAGCAAGGGCACCUGAUGGUUCAGUGCAGCUUCAGAUUUGCACCCCCUGGCUCACACUCGCUGGCGCCAGCCAGCAUGGCAGGGAUGGGCGGGGCUGGUUCUUAGGUUUCCUGCUCUUUGGGUGCUAGCACCCAGGGUAAGGAGACACCCAUGUCCGGUUGCAAGACAAACCCUUCUACCUCCUUUCCUGCCAAAGGCCACCAGCAUCCUCUGCCUCAAUCUCAAUCUUUGGAACUUUUUAGCUCCAAAGUGGUUUGAUGACCACAGGCUAAAAUUCAUAGUCUUAAAAUUUUAGAUAGUUAAGAGACAGAUCUGUUACAGGUUUUCAAAUAAACUGGUCUAUCUAGUGUAAGAGGUCACUGCUGAGCUUCAGUGAGCACCCAUGGGCCUGCUCUUGGAUGGUGGGACAGCUCUCACCUGGGGCAGCACGGCCAUCCCUGCAAGCACACACACCAGGAAGCAGCCUGUAGCCCCUGAGCUGACGCAGACACAAUGCCAUUCUCCAGCAGCGUCUCUGAAAAUUUUAAUUUGUUCUGACAACGAAACUAACACAGCAUAAGGACUUAAGCCCUCAAGCUAGGCAAGACACUG